rnacentral:lncRNA from 1 species
UUAUCCAUUUAAUAAAAAAUCAUUUCAAUUUAAGUCACUAAAUUACCAAACACAUAACUACUCUCACUAACUAUAUUGAAACUUACAAAACAUUGCCUGCACUUAAGCAAAAAGAGUCAAUCAGCACCUAAUCAAACCAGUCCAUGUCAAAACAUUGGUUAAGAUAAAAUCAACUGAAACUAAAAUAGGAACUAAGCUGAACCAGCAUGCUUC